AAUCUGGGGUCUCCGACCUCCGAGUUGUAAUUUGGAGAGGCAUCUUCUGGGGGGAGCGCCGGCCCAUGUUCCUUGGAACAGGACGUCACAGAGGGUGAGAAUCCCGUGCGCGGCCGGCUGCCUCCUCCCGCGUGAAGGGCCUUCGACGAGUCGAGUUGUUUGGGAAUGCAGCUCCAAGUGGGUGGUAAAUUUCAUCUAAGGCUAAAUACCGGCGGGAGACCGAUAGCGCACAAGUAGAGUGAUCGAAAGAUGAAAAGCACUUUGAAAAUAGAGUCAAAAAGUACGUGAAAUUGUUGAAAGGGAAGCGCUUGAGACCAGACUCAGGCCCGGGCAAACAUCUCUCCCCUCGGGGCCGUGCAAUUGCCUGGGGCUGGGCCAGCAUCAGUUGGUGUGGCGGGACAAAGGCGUGGGGAAUGUGGCUCCCCCUCGGGGAGUGUUAUUAGCCCCGCGCUCAAUGCCGCCGACGCCGACUGAGGACCGCGCCUCGGCUAGGAUGCUGGCUUAAUGGCCUCCAGCGACCCGUCUUGAAACACGGACCAAGGAGUCUAACAUCUAUGCGAGUGUUUGGGUGCCAAACCCUUGCGCGGAAUGAAAGUGAGCGGAGGUGGGAACCCCCCUGCGGGGCGCACCAUCGACCGAUCCUGAUGUCUUCGGAUGGAUUUGAGUA
rnacentral:rRNA from 1 species